rnacentral:rRNA from 1 species
CCUACGGGAGGCUGCAGUGGGGAAUAUUGCGCAAUGGGCGAAAGCCGGACGCAGCGACGCCGCGUGAGGGAUGAAGGUCUUAGGAUCGUAAACCUCUGUCAGCAGGGAAGCACGGUCACUGUGCUAAUCAGCAGUGAAUUGACGGUACCGGCAAAGGAAGCACCGGCUACAUCCGUGCCAGCAGCAGCGGUAAUACGGAGGGUGCGAGCGCUAAGCGUAAUAACUGGGCGUAAAGCGCUCGUAGGCGGUAUGUCAAGUCAAGGGUGAAAGCCCCGCGCUCAACGUGGGAACUGCCGUUGAAACUGGUAAACUGGAGUGUGUGAGAGGAUAGUGGAAUUCCAGGUGUAGGAGUGAAAUCCGUAGAUAUCUGGAGGAACAUCAGUGGCGAAGGCGACUAUCUGGCACAUAACUGACGCUGAGGAGCGAAAGCGUGGGUAGCAAACAGGAUUAGAUACCCCAGUAGUC